rnacentral:rRNA from 1 species
GAUGAACGCUGGCGGCGUGCCUAAUACAUGCAAGUAGAACGGUAAAGGCGUAGCUUGGUCGGCUGGAUGAGUGGCGAACGGGUGAGUAACGCGUAGGUAACCUGCCUGGUAGCGGGGGAUAACUACUGGAAACGAUAGCUAAUACCGCAUGACAACAGCUAUUGCAUGAUAACUGUUUAAAAGGUGCAACUGCUCCGCUAGCAGAUGGACCUGCGUUGUAUUAGCUAGUUGGUGAGGCAACGGCUCACCAAGGCGACGAUACAGAGCAGACCUGCGAGGGGGGGCAGCCGGCCUGGGACUGUGACCGGCCCCAGAGUGAUACGGGAAGGAGCAGUAGGGAAUCUUGGGGCAUGGGUGGAAAUUAGACCGCGAAAGGCCGCGUGAGUGUAGAGCGUCUCCGGAUGGUAGAGCUCUGUUGUAGGAGAAUAACGCGUGUGAGACUGGAAAGUUCACUGUGUGACGGUAUUUUAUAAGAAAGCGCCGGCUAACUACGUG